GAUGAAGAACGCAGCGAAAUGCGAUAAGUAAUGCGAAUUGCAGAUUUCAGUGAGUCAUCGAAUCUUUGAACGCACAUUGCGCCCGCCAGUAUUCUGGCGGGCAUGCCUGUUCGAGCGUCAUUACAACCCUCAGGCCCCCGGGCCUGGCGUUGGGGAUCGGCGGAAGCCCCCUGCGGGCACAACGCCGUCCCCCAAAUACAGUGGCGGUCCCGCCGCAGCUUCCAUUGCGUAGUAGCUAACACCUCGCAACUGGAGAGCGGCGCGGCCACGCCGUAAAACACCCAACUUCUGAAUGUUGACCUCGAAUCAGGUAGGAAUACCCGCUGAACUUAAGCAUAUCAAUAAGCGGAGGA
rnacentral:misc_RNA from 1 species